AACGAACGCUGGCGGCAUGCCUAACACAUGCAAGUCGAACGAGACCUUCGGGUCUAGUGUCGCACGGGUUCGUAACGCGGGGGAACCUGCCCUUAGGUUCGGAAUAACUCCCCGAAAGGGGUGCUAAUACCGGAUAAUGUCUUCGGACCAAAGAUUUAUCGCCUUUGGAUGGGCCCGCGUUGGAUUAGCUAGUUGGUAGGGUAAAAGCCUACCAAGGCGACGAUCCCUAGAUGGUCUGAGAGGCUGGUCAGCCACACUGGGAGUGAGACACGGCCCAGACUCCUACGGGAGGAAGCAGUGGGGAAUAUAGGAAAGUGGCCGACAGGAUGAUCGAGCAAUGCCGGGAGAGUGAUGAAGGCCUUAGAGUUGUAAAGCUCUUUUAUCCGGGAUGAUAAUGACAGUACCGGAAGAAUAAGCUCCGGCUAACUACGUG
rnacentral:rRNA from 1 species